CACGUAGGUGGGUCGCUAAGUCGGGGGUGAAAUCCUGGAGCUCAACUCCAGAACUGCCUUCGAUACUGGCGAUCUUUGAGUCCGGGAGAGGUGGGUGGAACUGCGAGUGUAGAGGUGAAAUUCGUAGAUAUUCGCAAGAACACCAGUGGCGAAGGCGGCUCACUGGCCCGGUACUGACACUGAGGUGCGAAAGCGUGGGGAGCAAACA
rnacentral:rRNA from 1 species